rnacentral:lncRNA from 1 species
UUAUUAUUUUUCCUCAUAUAGAUCCCCUCUUUCAGAAGUAAAUGGUAUAUAUGAGAAAGAAAGAAUCAGAGGCAGUGAGGAGAAAAGAAACAGGGUUUUUACAGAAAAUGACUAGUAGGACACAGCUGAGAAUCAAGGGAUGAUUUUUAUUUUAUUGAAGGAAAUUUUUUUAUUCUCCUCAGGUAUUCAAGAAAGUUCUGCCCCUAGCCUGCUCUCCAUCAAGAAAUGCUUCACCUGCAAAUCAGACUUUGCUGAUGAAAUCUGUGAUCACACCUUGGAGCAGCA